GAAAUUAGGAAGAAAAUCAUGUACCUAGCCAACAGGGGGUUUAACAGGAAGGAGAUGGUGAUGUUCAGCAAACAACCUAAAGCGCAAUCCUCAGGCCCAGUCAAAAUCCAGCGUGGAAUUGGCCACGGAUGCCACUGGAAUUGGCCACGGAUGCCACUGGAAUUAGCGGCGUGGCAGUGGAUCCUCGAAGCACGACGGUGACGUCGACCUCGUGUUAAACGUCGCGAGCUACCAAUGAUACUUAAUGCUAAAGAUGGACCUUAAAGACAACGCAGCUCCCGGCACCACCGCGAUUAUAUGCUCCUCCGGACCGAAGGCGGUCCUUGGCGGCGACGAUGGAUUAACUCAAAAGAAUCCUAUGCACUAACCGACUCAAGGUGUCGAUCGCGAACACGACGUCGGAAUCUCUACUUCUCUCCAGAGUUUCUCACUUCGGCGAGAGAUUAUCGGAAAUCCUAAAACAAAAAACCUACGUCCGACGCCGAUCUCCUAAAAUCGGAGCUCUGGGAAUUACGGCUAAGUCAUCUACAUAUCUCCUACAUCAUGGCGGUAACAGAAUGAAAGGAGGGAGGAUUUGAAACUCACCUAGUCGGAGAUUAUGGCUGUGCCGACGAACUCUCUACUUCCAGGGAAAUGGAAUCAUCGCUGAUGCUGCAACUCGAGUUGGAUCACUCAUUGUCGUCGUAUGCACUGCCGUAACAUGAUUCACUUGAUGCUUGCAGGUUAAUGCUGCUAUGAUAAGCACUACUUGUGGCUUUGUUAGCGUUCGUGAUGGGAUGGGGUUUGGGUUGUAAUUCUGGAUGCAGGGCCAUCGCCGUUAAGUCAAGCCAGCGACAAGCUAAAGCAUGGAAAAUAAAAGUAAGGCUGUCAUUCGAAGAAGGUUGUAACGGUUGAAUAGAAGGAUCACGCCUACAAAGAGCCGGUGACUAUCCACCAUAGCCAUGACCAGUAUGAACCCCACUCUUACGACAAAGCAGUCCGGUCUUUGCAGUCCUGUUUUAGAAUUGACUGUGCUGCCUAGUUAUUGAAACCAACAUCACCAGCUUUCCAACUGCCUUAAUUUCCACAAGGAUCACUGAGGUAAUGAUGAAAGUCGGUGUUUUUAUCCCAUCCUUCAAACAGGAGAGAAGCCCCAAUCGGACGGAGACCACCAAAUUAUGCGUAACCUUGUUUGGUGUCUCAAAAAGAUUGAACCACACUGUUCAACCGGCAUUGGCUCUUGGUGAGUAACAUUGUGCUUGGAUCCUGGAAGUAUGGAUUAGGAUGUUAGCAUCAUACAUAAUCCCAACAACAAUUCAUGCAACCUGAUCAUCCAUCUUGUGUAUUUCCUCAGCUGAAGUUGAGGUUCGCAGAAGCUUGGAGGUCACCUUCAUUUCACCAACCAGAACAACAACAUAAACUUUUUGACAAUAUUCCAAUGGCAAUACCAACAUUUCCAAACAAAAUCUUUUCCUUCAUUUGAGAGACAUUCCAGGACUGUUGGGAGUUAUCAUCAUUCUGUUCCAAUUUUUCGGUUAAUCAUGUUAUGGGUUAUAUGCAGUUUUUCGGAGAUUGGAAAAGGUUUAUUCGGUUAGCAGGUGGUUGAAAAGGUUCCGUUAUAUAUUCUGUUGAGAAAAUGUUGGUUGGGGAGAGUGAUCGGAGAAAAUGUACGUUGGGAGUUCAUGGAGUGUCGAUGUGAAGGAUGAUCAUUAGAAUAGUGCCCCAUUUCUUGACAGUGCAAACACGAUGACGGCCUCGGGUUGGUUUGAUGCGAGUGUUAAGCAGGUUCGAAUAAGGCUCACGCAGCAGAUUUUGCCUUAGACUGCUGCAGGAUUGUGACGCUGCAAGGUUUGUAAGGCUGGCUGGGACCGAUGUGUCCUCACGUUAAUGUGCAUUCUGCAGAUAAUGCGGCUGAUUCCACUAUAACCUUUCCUGUGGCUCUGACUUAUGGUUUGCCGGUGUGAACGAGAACAUGUGAUAUUUGUAGUCCAAUGAACAAACUUUACUUAGAUCCAGCAUUUUUAGAUAUAUCCACAUUCAAUUCUCUGACUUCAAUAGUAAAUUUUGGUGUCUUCAAAACCAGAUCAGUUACACGAACUGACGGAUAUCUUGUGAUGUUGCCUACGAUCAUCCACUUCCGUCUUCCUGGAGCGCGGUAUUUCCAAGUUGUCUUCUUCCCUGGGUUUUUGUUUGAAGGCCUCAUAAUAAAUUCUAAGCCAUAUAUUAAUGUUUGCAGCUUUGGAUCCCGAGACGUAAAACCCACACCAAGUUUGACCGGCGACUGGCGUAAGCUGAGCUUAAUUUCACCAAUGGGUACAGUUUCAAUAACACCAUUUUUAAGCUUCACCAUUGACGUUAUGAUCCUGUUUCAGUUUGGUUUGAGUGGUUUUAUUUCUAAACUGUAGCUGAACAAAAAUUUACAUGAUGACACCAAUAUCCAACACACUGUGUUCUUAAGAACUGAAACCUGGUCUCAUUGCAUCCCCCAUGUUUGAUUUGUUUAGCUAUUAGCAUUCAUGAAUGGCUUUGGUCCAGGCUCAUCAUAUUCCGUCUUGCUGCAGGACGGACAUCAAGUCAUGUUACAUUGCUUAUAACUUGUUGGUAUGUGGCAGCGUUCUGUUCAUGGCUCGCGGUUCUUGCUUGCAGGUUGAAGACUUUGUAGCAACCUGUUAGUAUUCGUUUUCACUUCUCCCCUACCGGCGUCGUAGCGUUUCCAACUAUCAUGAAUAGUAUAUGAACAAUAUCCCGUUUUGGUUCGUGCACAGUUCGGGGGGUUUGUACGUCGCAGUAGGCUUGGUUCUGGCAUGGUUAGGACGUGGAUUUGCUGCAAGUUCAUGGAAUCUUCUGUGGCAUAUGCAAUGUCGUUGCCUGUUUUGAUGUGCAGGUUGAAUACUGAUGGAUGUAUUAUAGCGUAUGGUCAUGUCCUACGGUGUAGCAGCUGGAUUCACUUGUAGGCAGCUCGGGGAGUGCAGAAUUGCUGACACUCAAUUAUUUGACGGCGGUCUGAUAUGGACUAGUAGCAGGAUUCUAUUUGACUGUGCCACUUUGGUUUACUAGGCCUCUUGUGUGCAAGUGUGGAGGGCAAUGAUUCAUAAGCCUAGGACAUAUUGGUCCUAACCCGGUGACUCUACAGAAUAUGCAUCUCUGGCUCCAUGUGGUUCAGCAAAAUCAUAUCAGGGACGAACUUCCUCUUUGUCCUGGUUGCAAAGUGUUACACGUAACUGUCAGUUGAAAGGCCAUUAAACCACGACUUUGAAACAAGUUCAUGGAUGCGGUAAGUAUAUCAUCCACUAGAGGUUUCUUGUCAUCCACAUAUGGAAGCUUUUUGCUUCAUGAUAAUCAUAAAGUAUUGCAGUUGCAUCCUUGUGAAUAGGAGAUGCCGCCAAUAGUACACCCUCAUUCCCUGAACUGGUUCUGUUGGUUGCUAUGAGCAUGAGUAAGGCCUAGCGCAUUUGGAGACUGCUACUGACAGGGUGCAGGACCUGUGCAAUGCUUAAUAUUUCCCCAUGAAUACUGUAGGCCAUAUGUACGGUUUUACACUUGGUGUAAUGGGUUCAUGGCUUAAUUGCAUCAUGUGGAAUGUAUUGAUUUGGCAUUACAAUUGUUGUUUGCUGUCUUUUAUGGUUGCAGGUCAUGUUUGCGUAAUGCUAUUGCCUUGUGACUGCUAUAAAUGAUGUUGUAUGUUAUGCAAAUUUCUUUGUGCGUCCAUACUGGCUCGCUUCAGGUUGUGGGUUACUUCCUUGUUUUCUUUUGCCGCUCAUGCAGGUUAUGGCUUCAUGUGUUGGACAGACAAAGUUUCAUGACACCAACAAGAAUCAUGAAGCAUUAUGCUUACUUGGCCAAUCCAAGAUCAAAAUGGAAUAUGGGAGAUCACGGUCAAGAUUAGGACAAGGAUUUGGGAUUUUAGGGUUUUUUAGGAUUGAGUUGACUUUGGUCAAAGUUGACCAAAAAGUCAAUUGUUGGCCCAAAGUCAACAUUUUCAAUUUGUGUAUUUUUGAUGUAAUGAGCAUUGUAAUGGAUAGUACAUGAUUACUUGAAUGAGAUUGAUUGUUUUUUGACUUGAA